GACGAACGCUGGCGGCGUGCUUACCACAUGCAAGUCGAACGGAAAGGCCCUGCUUUUGUGGGGUGCUCGAGUGGCGAACGGGUGAGUAACACGUGAGUAACCUGCCCUUGACUUUGGGAUAACUUCAGGAAACUGGGGCUAAUACCGGAUAGGAGCUCCUGCUGCAUGGUGGGGGUUGGAAAGUUUCGGCGGUUGGGGAUGGACUCGCGGCUUAUCAGCUUGUUGGUGGGGUAGUGGCUUACCAAGGCUUUGACGGGUAGCCGGCCUGAGAGGGUGACCGGCCACAUUGGGACUGAGAUACGGCCCAGACUCCUACGGGAGGCAGCAGUGGGGAAUAUUGCACAAUGGGCGGAAGCCUGAUGCAGCAACGCCGCGUGCGGGAUGACGGCCUUCGGGUUGUAAACCGCUUUCGCCUGUGACGAAGCGUGAGUGACGGUAAUGGGUAAAGAAGCACCGGCUAACUACGUGCCAGCAGCCGCGGUGAUACGUAGGGUGCGAGCGUUGUCCGGAUUUAUUGGGCGUAAAGGGCUCGUAGGUGGUUGAUCGCGUCGGAAGUGUAAUCUUGGGGCUUAACCCUGAGCGUGCUUUCGAUACGGGUUGACUUGAGGAAGGUAGGGGAGAAUGGAAUUCCUGGUGGAGCGGUGGAAUGCGCAGAUAUCAGGAGGAACACCAGUGGCGAAGGCGGUUCUCUGGGCCUUUCCUGACGCUGAGGAGCGAAAGCGUGGGGAGCGAACAGGCUUAGAUACCCUGGUAGUCCACGCUGUAAACGGUGGGUACUAGGUGUGGGGUCCAUUCCACGGGUUCCGUGCCGUAGCUAACGCUUUAAGUACCCCGCCUGGGGAGUACGGCCGCAAGGCUAAAACUCAAAGGAAUUGACGGGGCCCCGCACAAGCGGCGGAGCAUGCGGAUUAAUUCGAUGCAACGCGUAGAACCUUACCUGGGUUUGACAUGGAUCGGGAGUGCUCAGAGAUGGGUGUGCCUCUUUUGGGGUCGGUUCACAGGUGGUGCAUGGCUGUCGUCAGCUCGUGUCGUGAGAUGUUGGGUUAAGUCCCGCAACGAGCGCAACCCUUGUUCACUGUUGCCAGCACGUUAUGGUGGGGACUCAGUGGAGACCGCCGGGGUCAACUCGGAGGAAGGUGGGGAUGACGUCAAGUCAUCAUGCCCCUUAUGUCCAGGGCUUCACGCAUGCUACAAUGGCUGGUACAGAGAGUGGCGAGCCUGUGAGGGUGAGCGAAUCUCGGAAAGCCGGUCUCAGUUCGGGUUGGGGUCUGCAACUCGACCUCAUGAAGUCGGAGUCGCUAGUAAUCGCAGAUCAGCAACGCUGCGGUGAAUACGUUCCCGGG
rnacentral:rRNA from 1 species